rnacentral:lncRNA from 1 species
GCAUNACAAAUCCAAAAUUCUAUUUUCCAUUUCUCGCUUUCGCUCUACCCUUUUCCCUAUUCUACUAAUCAAUGAAGGAAGCCGAAGAACAGGCAACAACUACCGUUGGUAAGCAUACUCUUAACUUUGAACCCUUUAUAAUUGAAACUUUUUUCUUCUUUUCUGUUCUAAAUUUUUUGCAAUAGUGAGUUGUGCCUUGUGUAUGAUAAGUUGUACAUAGUACUUGACAUACUGAGUAUUUUCUAUUAUCUUUUUAGCAUGGUAGUAAAUAAAAUAGGAGAGUUUAUCAAGGGUAAAUCGGCGACUAUAUUCAUAACAAUCACGCUAUAUGACUUGUUGAAGAGGGUAUAACACUUUUAUAUUUAGAUACCGACCCUCAAGAAACUCUAAUAAGCUUUUACUUUAUACUUUUUUUUUUCUUUAAUUAAUAAAUACAUGAGUAUGACAUAGUAAUCAUCAUUAAUGAAUUGGACCUAUAAUUGGAAGCUCUACACAAUAAUUUAAUCGAUAUGAGGCCCAUGAUCCUGGAAUGAUUAGAUAUUGUCUAAUAAUUUAUUAUUGCUUGUAUGGCAUGCAUAAAAGGUUGUAUAUUCAGCUGGACUUGAUUAUUUUAUAUCUGAAAAUCUCAAGGAAUGACCACAAACACAUAGGAAAUCAUUCAAAAACUUGUACCUAAUUGUUCAAACAUGAAUUGAAGAAGAUAACGAUGAAAUAGACUUGUAAUAUUAAAAAUAGUUCUACCUCGUUAUGCGUUUCAUGACUAUAGCUAUGAUCAUCACUAAAAUAGAUAUAAUAAUAUACGGAUAUAAUAUUUAAUUCAUUUUUUUUUAUACUAUUUAUUUCGUGAAAGAUAUUUGUGAUGUGUUAAAUCGAUUCUAAAGACAUUUUUUUUUUUUUUUUUGUGUGUGUGAAAGCAACUUUAUUUUAACGAAAUAAACAAUUUCAGGAAAAAAUCACGAAAUAAAAAAUUAUAACUUUUGAUUAUUCGUUUUUAAGUGUAAACAAAAUUAUGUUCAAGAAAUGCCGUAAUGGAAUUUGGUUUUAUGAGUUUCGUUGUUGACUCUUUUGGAACUAUAUGGAAAAAAUAAAAAAUAUCAUCCUACAUAGGCUCAACUUGCAUGCCUAACUUAUUAAUUUUGUUACAACUUAUUUUGUUUAUACGUCAAACGGUCAAAGAGAUACCUUGUUACCAGUUUCGUGAUUCUUUUAUAUCACGAAAUGGCGUCAGUUUUUUAAUCAUAAAAAUAAUUAAAAUGCAGACAAUAUAAUGUUAAAAAAAUUAUUAGAUAGAGGAUAUUUUUUUUCUCAAAAUCCUCGAAAUAUUCUUCUGAUUUUGGUUUUAUUUUCUUGAAUUUAUAAAGGCUUUUUUUUCAAAAUCCGAAAUUUUUGUUCGGAAUCUGGAAUGUUGGUCGACAAUCUGAAUGUCGUUCUAGAAUCAAUAAAAAAAAUGUUGUUUCUUAGUCUGGAAUCCAUUCCAGACCAAUGGUUAUUUUUGUUAAAGAAAAAAUAUUGAUUAUUUUCUUGGAAUAUACUUUAAAAACUGGUUAGAUAAUUUAAUUACCCAUAAAAUAAUAUUUAUUACCUAUUUUAUAUAUUAUAUUAAAACAUAAUAAUUAGGAUGCUAGAAUUUUAUUCCUCCCAUCAUCACCUUUCUAUUCAUGAAAAUUCAUACUUCUCAUUCCUUGUCACAUAUAUAAUUUAUUUAAUACUUCUUAGAAAAAUAAAAUUAAAAAAUACAUUUCAUUAAAAAAAUAAAAAACUACUACAUAGAGAAAAUAAAAGCAUGAAACGGCAUUUAAAAUUCGAAGGCAUUAUUAAAAAAUUCUAAAAUAAUAAUUAAAAGUCUAAAAUAAAAUUAUAUAUUUAAAAACCAUACAAUGUAUUAAUGUAUCGUUUCAUGGCAGCAUCAAAUUGAACAUCUCUUCGGUCAAAUGGUCAUGCGGCUUAAGAAAGAGCUACAUAUCAUUUUCCUCAAAGAAUGCCGUUUUAUCUUGCCUGAUAGCUCCCCAUGAGCCGAAAUUCAUCAUCUCAAUGUCGCCUUCUUUCUCUUCCUUCUCUUUUUUGUUUUGGUAGACAAGGCCAACAAUUUCAACGACAAACUCAGUUAGUUCGAGAGGUUGUGAGGAUGUGAAUGUUGUUUUCUUUCAUUUUUGUUGCCUCGGUGGUUGUAAGACAAUAAGAAUCGCUUCAAGCUCGACAUUAAAAUUAGAUGGAAUCGCUUCAAGCUCGACAUUAAAAUCGGAUGAAAAUUAUGCAUUAGAAGAGGUUAUGUACGCGUUGGAGUCGAUGUGUUGAUCCUUUUGGAUGGAAGAGGGGGAUUAAUGGAUUAUUACUGUAUUUGUUGACGUCUAACCAUUUCAGGAGGAAUUUCAAAGUAUCCCAAGCCAUCUUGUGUGUAAGAGCUUUGAUUUUGUAGAGUUUAUGUUGUCGACUUUCACAUAUCGACCUUGAUUUUACCAUUCACACGAUUAUUCACCUAUCGAUUGAAGAUGCAAUUUAAAUUGUUACAUUUCACCUACAUAUCCUUCCAAUUGGAGUCCAUUUGGUGCUUUGAACGAUCUAAACCCACAGUUGUAGUUUAGGGUGUUUCAGAACUUGAUCCCAAAAAGCUCCUUGUGUUGACUUACACCAUCCUUAUCUUUUGAAAUGUCGAUAUAAGCCUUCGUCAAUGCUACUUCUUCCUUAUCGAUUCAUAUUGUUUUAUUUUCGACGAUCGGUAUAAUUUUUGAAGUGUCGGGGAUGGGUUGGGGCUUGUUGUCUAAUUCUUCGUUUUGGUUUUGAUGGAUGGGAGUGGGUUUAUCGCUUGGUUCUUCGGGUUCUUUGUUUUGAGCAUCACGAAAUUGCGAUGCUUUGGGAGUGGAAUAUUGGAAUUGGGUUUUCGGAAAGGAUUAUGAAUGGUAGGGGAACAAAUUAUAACUGAUAUUUUCUUGAAAUAGACAAAAUUAGUUAUACACUCGUUGCAUCUGUAGGUAGUUGUGUUGGGGUUGAGAUGGUGAGAAUUAAGGAUAAUUUGGAAUUUAGUUUUCGAGAAUGAAAUAUGGAACUUAUUGAGAACUGCUUCUAGCUUCGUUGUGCCAGUUGCGUAUUUGGCUUGAACCGACGUUUUUGGAGUUUCCACAACUAAAAUCCAUUUUAAGCAGAAUUAUAAUAGAACUGGAGAAAGUUGGAAUCAAACUGGAGAGUAGUUGUGUGGUUCUUGAAGUGGGUCAGUGUGGUAUUUAUACUUAGGUAAAAAAGAAACACAAAUUUUGUGAGAAUAGUUGAAAUUGAUUUUACACUUGUUGCAUCUGUAGUUAGUUAUAUUAGGGUUGAUAAAGUGUGAAUUAUGGAUAAUUUGGAAUUUUGGUUUCGAGUGUGGAAUAUGAAAAAUCUUAAGAACCCACUUCGUUGCAUCGGUUGCAUAUUUGGCUUGAACUGACUUUUUGUUUUUUUGAAGUAGUCACGACUAGAAUCCAUUUCAAAUGGAAUUUUAACGCAACCGGAGAAAGUUGGAAUGGAAUUGCCGAAUUGGAGAGAAUGUGUGUGAUUUUUAAAGUGGUUGAGUGUGGUAUUUAUAGUUGGUACAAAACACAAAAUUUUAAGAAUGAUAUAUAUAUAUGCAUAUUUGGCUUGAACUGACUUUUUGUUUUUUUGAAGUAGUCACGACUAGAAUCCAUUUCAAAUGGAAUUUUAACGCAACCGGAGAAAGUUGGAAUGGAAUUGCCGAAUUGGAGAGAAUGUGUGUGAUUUUUAAAGUGGUUGAGUGUGGUAUUUAUAGUUGGUACAAAACACAAAAUUUUAAGAAUGAUAUAUAUAUAUAUNAAGAAAUUGUUUUACUAAAUAAAGAUUACGGUUAAUGGAUUCACGAUUAAUAUUUCAAGAUGUAAAUUCAAGAUCGACACAGUAAGGUUUAGGAUUAAGGGUUUAGGAUUUAGGUUUAGGGUUUAGGGUUUAGGUUUAGGUUUAGGUUUAGGGUUUAGGGUUUAUGUUUAGGGUUUGGGGUUUAGGGUUUAGAUUUUAGGUUUAGGGUUUAGGUUUAGGGUUUAGGGUUUAAAUUUAGGGUUUAGGGUUUAGUAAUGUCACUUGGAUGAAUUAAUAAACGAUAAUUAAAGAAGGAAAACAGAGAUUGUAAAACGAUAAUGACAGAAAGAAAUGUUAUGGGGGAUGAUAUAUUUACGAAGUAAAACCAAACCGGGUAUAUUUAGCGUGAUAAAACGACAUAUUUUAGAGGUUUAGUACCUAAGCUUAGGUGGGGCUGUAAUGUAUAUUCCCUAUCCCCUAUAUAUAUAUAUAUAUAUAUAAGGACAUGUACUCCCGAUAAUCUCANAGAGAGAGAGACUUUUUCAACGGAGUAAAUUACACGAUUCAUCCCUUACUCAAGUGUCAAAUUUCACGUUUAAUCCUUAUUUUCAAAAAUUAACUCGGACCGUCCCUAUAAUAUUUAUUUCUCACUCGGACCAUCCCUGACGGACAUAAAAUGACUAUUUUACCUUUUUUAUUUCUUUUUUGAUAUAUUUUUUGAUUUGUUUAUUAUUAACAAUUAAAAAGAAAAAUAAAAAUAAUCCCCAACACCACAAACCCACAAUCUCUACCCUAACCCCACUUACAACCCUCUAUCCUUUCAUUUUCACUGUAUCUUCUGUUUGUGCUGUCGGAGCUAGAGAAAGAUGGGUCGCCGGAGAUAUCACUGUCGUCGUCGGAGCUGCUGGGAGAGAGAAAAAGAAGAGCAUCACUUUGUUGGAGAUAUCUUAUCGUUCCCCUUCCCUUUCCCUUUUUCCUUCGCCCUUCCUAAAGCACACCAGAUCAACACCACCUCUGAUCCAUUCAAAUCCCACCACCAUCGCAGAUCUGUCAUUGACAGUUGCCCACCACCAUCACCGCACCUCCGAUUGGUGAACCUGGAAGGAAAAAAGAAGUACAAAUUAUAUGGGUUGCUGGACGUUAUGGGUAGUGGUUUCCAAAUUCAUGGUGACAGAUUUCAGAUUGAGGAUUUCCAAUGGAUGAAGGUGGUUUCCAACGUUCAAAUUGGAGAAGAGGAAGGUUUUCGGUGUCUGUUGACACCAUUCUGACAUCACCAAGAACACACUAUCGCAGGUGCUUCGCACGUACUGAAGAGUCUGCCGUUGUCUCCCUCUUUCUCCCCUACUCCCAACAAUAACCCAAUACCCUAGCUAACCAGCGCCUCCUCCGCCCUUCUUCUCCAUUUGCUCCAAAAUCCAAACCCUAGCUCAGUGUUGGUGACCUAAGCAAUCCCAUCAGUGUAGACGACACCACCCAUCUGCCUCCCUGACGCUAGAAAACCGUGACACCACUGUCACCCUCCUCAUCGAGAUCCAACAUCAUAACCAAUACUCCAUAGUUCCCCCUCUUCCGUUCUCAGCGAGACUAACUACCAUCAUGGCCACCAUACAUCGUCAUCAAACUCCCAUCAGAGCACCACCUACUUCUUUUGCAAUUGUUGAACUCCAUAUUCUUCAGUGCUUGUUGAACCAUCAAACGAAUUUACAUGCUUUCAAAUAGAUCUGAUUUUGAGAAUGUGACAGAGGUCGAAGAGAGAAUGGGAGUGUAAAAGGUGUCUGUUGAAGAAGGUGACAUGUGGGAAAGGAUAAUAGGUGUGUGAGAGGUGUAUGGGUUUUGUUGGUAUCAAUGGAGGUCGUUUUAGUGACAGUGAUAGGUGGUCGGAGACGGUACUAGGUGGUGGUGGUGGAUGGACGACAAUUGUAUCUCUUUCCUACCUGAAAGUUUAAAAGAGUUGGGUGUGUUUGGGUGGGUCGGGUAUAAAUGAUGGAUUAUUCAAUUAUUUAUUAAUAUAAAUUGAAAACAAAUAAUAAGAAAAAUAGAAAAGAAACUGAGAAGGGCAAAAUAGUCAUUUUAUAUCCGUCAGAGACUGUCUAAGUGAAAAAACAAUAUUAUAGGGAUGGUCCGAGUUAAAUUUUGAAAAUAAGGACUAAACGCGCAAUUUGACCAUUCGACCAGGGACGAAUCGUGUAAUUUACUCUUUUCAAAGUCAUAGCCCCAAUGCCUCAGAGGUAACUAGUGAUUCUUGUUUUUCUGUUGUACCUAAGCUCGAAAUAGUGUAGCCGACGGUAUCGAUAGUGUUGUCUUGAGCCUGUCUUCAACCCGUGUCGACUCGAAGCACACUAAUAAUGUAUAAUAUUAUUUUAUUUCUAAUAAUAAUUUAUAUUAUAAAAUCUUGUUAAAACUAAAAUUGAUAUUUUGAAUAGAGAAUAUAAAUUAAAAUAUAAUAAUUACAAAUUUUAUUCAUAUAACUGCAUAUAUAUACAUAAUAAUGUUCAUCGAUCGUAUAAUAUUAUUAUUAUUAUUUAAAAAAACAAAGGCCACCGUCUUAGCAAAAUAAAAUAAUUUUAUUUUACUCCCAAAUAUCAAAUAUUAAUAUGAUAUCUGUUUAAAAUGAUAAAUUAGAUUAGAGAGAUUUAUAAAAUAGUCCAUAUAUAGAUGAAGAUAUUGAAAUCGUCCAUGUUGUUUAUUAAAAUUAUGGAUUUUGUCCCUAUUUAUUUUGUUACAGUAUAAAUCUCUAUCCGAUAGAAAANNNNNNNNNNNNNNNNNNNNNNNNNNNNNNNNNNNNNUAUAUAUAUAUAUAUUCUCACUCUCAUUCCCUCACCAACAACCACCACUAUACAAGCACUGCUGCAAUCGACCAUACCCACCACCGAUAAUCCUUAAAAAUUCUUUCUUCCCAUCAACACCACCACCUCUACCAUCGACCAUUGAUGUUCAAAUCUGUGAAAAAACCAUUGCCCUAUGAAUUAAAUACAAACACAUUAUCAUCCAUUUUUCUUUUUUUUACUUAAUAACAAUCAACAAUUCUUCACAAAAAAAAAAAAAAAAAAAAAAACCCGUUUGCAAAAUAAGAACCCUAACUACCGCUCAAAGCUGCAAAAAUGCGAAAACAAAUUUUCGUGGAUGCUCAAUGCUACAAAAAAGACACUGGUGCUCAAACCUAGGGAAAAAACAGAAACCGUAAAUCUAAUUUAAUCUUUUAUAAUAAGUAGAAUAAAAAAUGGGGAAAAUCCCCGAUUUUAUACAAACUGGAAUAGGAAUAAAACUGAUUGAUGAUGAAGUGGGGUGUGAGGUCAAUGCAACGAUGGCGUUAUUGAGUUUUAUUCAAAAAUUAGUUUUUAAAAAUGCUAAAAACGGCAAUAGAAGCUUUAAAACUUGAAUAAACAUAAAACAUUUUUAUACCUACCAAAAAUCAUUUUUCAUUCAUAGAAAGAUUAAACCAACCAUAGAAUGAAAAGAAUAACAACCUUUGUAGACUUUAAUUCUUCAAAUGGAGGAUUGGAAGUUGUAGAAGAUGUUGUAACACCUACAGAUUCAGGUUAGUCAAUUCGGGUUAGUCAAUUAAUAUAUAAUAAGCAUUAAAAAUGAUUUUUUUUAUAUGAUAUUAUUUAGGAUAAAUAAUCUUAACCGAAGUUAUAGUAUGUGUCAGGAUUCCGUAAAUAUAAAGAACACUAAAUCUGACUUCGUAUGAAGAAGUUAUGCUUCUUCGAAGAUUCGCAAAUAAACCGACACGACUCUACGUAUCGCAAAAAAUGAAAUUUUGAUAAAUUACUUUUUAUCCUAAGUGAUCUAAAUGAAAUUCAUAGUAUUCGUUAAGCCGAGAGCGUGCAUAUAGAGAACAUCCAAAUCUGACUUGAUGAGAGGAAGUUAUCAUUUUUCGAAGUUUCGACACAUCUGUCAGCACAUAAAUCGAAAUUUAAAUCAGUUGAUUGUUAGCUGAAACAAUCUAAAGGAGAAUUGAAGAUCUCGUGAAUAUGAACUUGUUGAUAAAAAAGACAGUAAAAAACAGAGUUCGUAUGAAGGAAUUAAGAAUUUCGCAAGGACUUUAACAGUCUAAACUGGUCUAAAUAUGAAAUUUUGUUAUAUCAAGAAUUAGAUUUUGAGAUAUUAAUGAAAGUUUUAGAGCUCUUCGAGAGGAUUUUGGGGAUAUAAAGAACAUAAAAAACGGAGCUCAUAUGCGAAAGUUAUGGUUGUUCGAAAAUCUGCGAAAAUUUACCAGUGUUGAUGACGUGGCAUCACCGGAUUGUGCCACGUGGCAUGUCGGGAGGCCGCCUCUUCCAAGAGACAAGAUGACGUUGCACCAUGAGAUUUGGACACAUGGCACCAUGAAAUGGUGACAUGUGGCAUUGUUCUAGAAGGAUAAUGCAGACGAAGGGGUGGACGACACGUGGCAAAUGACCAGAGGAGCCACCAAGGCGCAAAGGGCGUGACGCGCCUAUGGUCAGUAUGUGGUGCGUACCCACUGUUCCUAUAUAAAGCUACCAAAUUUCGAGCUCUUAAUUUCUCUCUCUAGAAGCACUCGGGGAGUCCGCCCUUCUACCGGCACCAUUAAAGUAAAUACCUAUAGUUUCCUGCUUACCUGUGACAAAUAAUUUCUCUGGUUUCAAAGCUUUGGAUGUGAAGAAGACGAAAGGGGUGAUAGAUAGAUAGAUAGAUAGAGAGAGAGAGAGAGUAGAGUAAGGUUUGAGGUAGGUAUUAUCUCCGGUGUCAAUUUUGUUAUUCAUCUUUCCACCACUAUCUCUAGAAGACCCGCUGCAAAGAAGAGGAGAGGAAAAGAUCUUAAAACCUAAUUCCAUUGUUAUUGUUUUGAUUUUGGUUUUGAUAUUGAUCUUAUUGUCUUGAUUUGUUUAUAUUCACAUAGAAUUGGUUUAAGAUUUGGUUUGUGGAUUUGGGUUCUUUUUUUGGUUUACAACUUUUAUUUUCAUCUGAACAGCAAUGGUGGGUCACGACCCGUAAGGUGAACCACACCACUACUAAGUCAAAGAGAUACAUGGAUAUAAGCUGUUGAUGCAUUGGAUUCUAUUCAUACAAAUAGAAACACAUCAGUUUUGGUUUAGAUUUUAUUACUGGUUUCAAGGUUUGAUUAAGAGAGAAGAACGAUCGUGAAAGGUGGGUGAUGACCAAUUUAUAUGUGUGUAUGUGAGAGAGAGGUCUUUUAUUAUUAUUUUGAUUAUUUAAAUAGAUAAAGAAUAGAAGAAAAAUAGAAAAGAAAUACACAAGAGUAUUACAGUAAUUUCAGUUUUUUGGAGGGACUAAAGCCACAUACAAAUACUGUCAAAGGGACCACCAAUCUAAAAAAAAGUUGAGGUUUGGACAAAAACCCAGAAAAAUACAUACCACAAGACCAUUUUGCAGUAUGUUUUAUGAGCUUCUAUAGAUGUGAGAAGGGGCUAAAUGGGAAGUGGGAGGACAAGUAUACUUAACUUCCCUUAGCGUCUAAGAACCAUUUUCAACCUUCAAUUCCAAGUGAGGAAGUUCUUAAUAAAUAUAUUUUCCUUCUUAAGGAUGGAUCGAAGGAGUAAGAUAUUCAAGGUGUUUGCAUUUUGGGAAUUAUAAAAUUUUACAUUUUGGGAAUUAUAAAAUUUUAACAUAAUUCAUUUAGUACUCUUAGGAAUUAUAUCUUCAAUAACUAAUACCCUUUAAGCUUCUAACAAAUUAACUAUUAAAGCGUAGGACCC